UCAUCUUCAUCUUUAUGGUGCUGAAAAUAUGGAGAGGUUCAAAAACGAAUCACUCCCCUCCAAAUCUACCCCCAGGACCAAGCAAGCUUCCUAUUAUUGGAAACAUGCAUCAGCUUGUUGGCCCUCCACCUCAUCAUCGCCUAAGAGACUUGGCCAAGGAAUAUGGAAGUAUUAUGCAUCUUCAGCUUGGUGAAGUUUCCAAUAUAGUCAUUUCAUCACCAGAAGCUGCAAAAGAAGUGAUGAAGACUCAUGAUAUUGUGUUUGCUCAGAGGCCUUUUAUCUUAGCUGCUAGCAUUAUAUCUUAUAACUACUCAGACAUUGCAUUUGCACCAUAUUCAGAUUACUGGAGACAGCUGCGAAAAAUU
rnacentral:misc_RNA from 1 species